rnacentral:rRNA from 1 species
GCCUAAUACAUGCAAGUCGAACGAGUUCUGAUUAUUGAAAGGUGCUUGCAUCUUGAUUUUAAUUUUGAACGAGUGGCGGACGGGUGAGUAACACGUGGGUAACCUGCCCUUAAGUGGGGGAUAACAUUUGGAAACAGAUGCUAAUACCGCAUAAAUCCAAGAACCGCAUGGUUCUUGGCUGAAAGAUGGCGUAAGCUAUCGCUUUUGGAUGGACCCGCGGCGUAUUAACUAGUUGGUGAGGUAACGGCUCACCAAGGCAAUGAUACGUAGCCGAACUGAGAGGUUGAUCGGCCACAUUGGGACUGAGACACGGCCCAAACUCCUACGGGAGGCAGCAGUAGGGAAUCUUCCACAAUGGACGCAAGUCUGAUGGAGCAACGCCGCGUGAGUGAAGAAGGCUUUCGGGUCGUAAAACUCUGUUGUUGGAGGAGAAUGGUCGGCAGAGUAACUGUUGUCGGCGUGACGGUAUCCAACCAGAAAGCCACGGCUAACUACGUGCCAGCAGCCGCGGUAAUACGUAGGUGGCAAGCGUUAUCCGGAUUUAUUGGGCGUAAAGCGAGCGCAGGCGGUUUUUUAAGUCUGAUGUGAAAGCCCUCGGCUUAACCGAGGAAGUGCAUCGGAAACUGGGAAACUUGAGUGCAGAAGAGGACAGUGGAACUCCAUGUGUAGCGGUGAAAUGCGUAGAUAUAUGGAAGAACACCAGUGGCGAAGGCGGCUGUCUGGUCUGUAACUGACGCUGAGGCUCGAAAGCAUGGGUAGCGAACAGGAUUAGAUACCCUGGUAGUCCAUGCCGUAAACGAUGAAUGCUAGGUGUUGGAGGGUUUCCGCCCUUCAGUGCCGCAGCUAACGCAUUAAGCAUUCCGCCUGGGGAGUACGACCGCAAGGUUGAAACUCAAAGGAAUUGACGGGGGCCCGCACAAGCGGUGGAGCAUGUGGUUUAAUUCGAAGCAACGCGAAGAACCUUACCAGGUCUUGACAUCUUUUGAUCACCUGAGAGAUCAGGUUUCCCCUUCGGGGGCAAAAUGACAGGUGGUGCAUGGUUGUCGUCAGCUCGUGUCGUGAGAUGUUGGGUUAAGUCCCGCAACGAGCGCAACCCUUAUGACUAGUUGCCAGCAUUUAGUUGGGCACUCUAGUAAGACUGCCGGUGACAAACCGGAGGAAGGUGGGGAUGACGUCAAAUCAUCAUGCCCCUUAUGACCUGGGCUACACACGUGCUACAAUGGAUGGUACAACGAGUUGCGAGACCGCGAGGUCAAGCUAAUCUCUUAAAGCCAUGCUCAGUUCGGACUGUAGGCUGCAACUCGCCUACACGAAGUCGGAAUCGCUAGUAAUCGCGGAUCAGCACGCCGCGGUGAAUACGUUCCCGGGCCUUGUACACACCGCCCGUCACACCAUGAGAGUUUGUAACACCCGAAGCCGGUGGCGUAACCCUUUUAGGGAGCGAGCCGUCUAAGGUGGGACAAAUGAUUAGGGUGAAGUCAUAACA